rnacentral:rRNA from 1 species
UACGUAGGGGGCGAGCGUUGUCCGGAAUUAUUGGGCGUAAAGGGUUCGCAGGCGGUCUGAUAAGUCAGAUGUGAAAGGCGUAGGCUCAACCUACGUAAGCAUUUGAAACUGUCAGACUUGAGUUAAGGAGAGGAAAGUGGAAUUCCUAGUGUAGCGGUGAAAUGCGUAGAUAUUAGGAGGAAUACCAGUGGCGAAGGCGACUUUCUGGACUUAUACUGACGCUGAGGAACGAAAGCGUGGGGAGC